rnacentral:snoRNA from 1 species
AUACCAUGAUGAGGACAUCUCCUGAGUAGCUCGUUGAAUCUUUCCCAUGCAUGGUAUAAACUCUCAUUUUGAAGUUGAUGGAAAUAUGUGAUCUUGUUGCUUAAUUU